GCCUGUAGUCUAGUGGUUAAGGUAAAUGACUGGGACUCCAGAGGUUGGUGGUUCAAGCCCCACCCCAGCCA
rnacentral:tRNA from 1 species